GCCCCCUUUUCGGGGGGUACACGAGGGGCGAAGGGGUGAGUAACACGGGGGUAAUCUGCCCUGCACUUCGGGAUAAGCCUGGGAAACUGGGUCUAAUACCGGAUAUUCACUUUCGGCCGCUGGGGGGGGGUUGGAAAGUUUUUCGGUGCAGGAUGAGCCCGCGGCCUAUCAGCUUGUUGGGGGGGUAAUGGCCUACCAAGGCGACGACGGGUAGCCGGCCUGAGAGGGUGAUCGGCCACACUGGGACUGAAACACGGCCCAAACUCCUACGGGAGGCAGCAGUGGGGAAUAUUGCACAAUGGGCGAAAGCCUGAUGCAGCGACGCCGCGUGGGGGAUGACGGUCUUCGGAUUGUAAACCCCUUUCAGUAGGGACAAAGCGCAAGUGACGGUACCUGCAGAAAAAGCACCGGCCAACUACGUGCCAGCAGCCGCGGUAAUACGUAGGGUGCGAGCGUUGUCCGGAAUUACUGGGCGUAAAGAGCUCGUAGGCGGUUUGUCGCGUCGUCCGUGAAAACUCGGAGCUUAACUCCGAGCUUGCGGGCGAUACGGGCAGACUUGAGUACUACAGGGGAGACUGGAAUUCCUGGUGUAGCGGUGAAAUGCGCAGAUAUCAGGAGGAACACCGGUGGCGAAGGCGGUUCUCUGGGUAGUAACUGACGCUGAGGAGCGAAAGCAUGGGUAGCGAACAGGAUUAGAUACCCUGGUAGUCCAUGCCGUAAACGGUGGGCGCUAGGUGUGGGGUCCUUCCACGGAUUCCGUGCCGUAGCUAACGCAUUAAGCGCCCCGCCUGGGGAGUACGGCCGCAAGGCUAAAACUCAAAGGAAUUGACGGGGGCCCCGCACAAGCGGCGAAGCAUGUGGUAUUAAUUCGAUGCAACGCGAAAAACCUUACCCUAGGCUUGACAUAUACAGGACGACGGCAGAAGAUGUCGUCUCCCUUUGUGGCUUGAAUACAGGGUGGUGCAGGUUGUCGUCAGCUCGUGUCGUGAAAUGUUGGAUAAGCCCCCGCACGAAGCCCCACCCCCCUGGUCUCAUGGUUGCCAGCACGUUUAUGUUGAGUACCUCGUUGAGAGACCUGCCGGCUCAACCUCGAGAGGUGGGGAAGACGUCAAAAUCACUCCUUUGC
rnacentral:rRNA from 1 species